rnacentral:rRNA from 1 species
UACGAAGGGGGCUAGCGUUGUCCGGAAUUAUUGGGCGUAAAGAGCUCGUAGGCGGUUUGUCGCGUCUGCUGUGAAAACCUACAGCUUAACUGUGGGCUUGCAGUCGAUACGGGCAGACUUGAGUUCGGUAGGGGAGACUGGAAUUCCUGGUGUAGCGGUGAAAUGCGCAGAUAUCAGGAGAAACACCGGUGGCGAAGGCGGGUCUCUGGGCCGAUACUGACGCUGAGGAGCGAAAGCGUGGGGAGCGAACAGG